rnacentral:tRNA from 1 species
AGGGUCGUGGUGUAAUCGGCAGCAUUCCGGACUUUUAAUCCGGGAGGUGUGGGUUCGAGUCCCUCCGGCCCUA